GCCUCUUGGCCGGGGACAACAGUUGGAAACGGCUGCUAAUCCCGGAUGAGCCGAAAGGUAAAAGAUUAAUCGCCAAGAGAGGGGCUUGCGUCUGAUUAGCUAGUUGGUAGUGUAAGGGACUACCAAGGCGACGAUCAGUAGCUGGUCUGAGAGGAUGAUCAGCCACACUGGGACUGAGACACGGCCCAGACUCCUACGGGAGGCAGCAGUGGGGAAUUUUCCGCAAUGGGCGAAAGCCUGACGGAGCAAGACCGCGUGGGGGAGGAAGGUUCUUGGAUUGUCAACCCCUUUUCUCAGGGAAGAAGAAAGUGACGGUACCUGAGGAAGAAGCAUCGGCUAACUCCGUGCCAGCAGCCGCGGUAAUACGGAGGAUGCAAGCGUUAUCCGGAAUGAUUGGGCGUAAAGAGUCCGUAGGUGGCCCUUCAAGUCUGCUGUUAAAGAGCGAGGCUUAACUUCGGAAAAGCAGUGGAAACUGGAGAGCUAGAGUGUAGUAGGGGCAGAGGGAAUUCCUGGUGUAGCGGUGAAAUGCGUAGAGAUCAGGAAGAACACCGGUGGCGAAAGCGCUCUGCUGGGCUACAACUGACACUGAGGGACGAAAGCUAGGGGAGCGAAUGGGAUUAGAUACCCCAGUAGUCCUAGCGGUAAACGAUGGAAACUAGGUGUGGCCUGUAUCGACCCGGGCCGUGCCGGAGCAAACGCGUUAAGUUUCCCGCCUGGGGAGUACGCACGCAAGUGUGAAACUCAAAGGAAUUGACGGGGGCCCGCACAAGCGGUGGAGUAUGUGGUUUAAUUCGAUGCAACGCGAAGAACCUUACCAGGACUUGACAUCUCUGGAAUCUUUCUGAAAGGAGAGAGUGCCUUAGGGAACCAGAAGACAGGUGCUGCAUGGCUGUCGUCAGCUCGUGUCGUGARAUGUUGGGUUAAGUCCCGCAAC
rnacentral:rRNA from 1 species